UACGUAGGGUGCGAGCGUUAAUCGGAAUUACUGGGCGUAAAGCGUGCGCAGGCGGAUUGUUAAGCAAGAUGUGAAAUCCCCGGGCUUAACCUGGGAAUGGCAUUUUGAACUGGCAAUCUAGAGUGUGUCAGAGGGGGGUAGAAUUCCACGUGUAGCGGUGAAAUGCUUAGAUAUCGUCAAGAACACCUAUAGCGAAGGCAGCUUACUAGGCUGUAACUGACGCUGAGGCACGAAAGUGUGGGGAUCAAACAGG
rnacentral:rRNA from 1 species